AAGGAUCAUCAUUAAAGAUUCGCUGGCCUUCCAGGGCAGCGAAUUUAGAUUUUCAGCGCUGUGCACGUGUAGUGGGUCGUGCGCCGUGCUGCCCGACAGGGCGGCAGGGCGGAGAGGCCAACAUUCACAUCAAGUCUGAAGCAUUAGUCAUGUGACAAAGAACAACUUUUAUCAGUGGAUCUCUGGGCUCUC
rnacentral:misc_RNA from 1 species